UACAGAGGUCUCAAGCGUUGUUCGGAUUCAUUGGGCGUAAAGGGUGCGUAGGUGGCAUGGUAAGUCGGAUGUGAAAUCCCGGGGCUCAACCCCGGAACUGCAUUCGAUACUGCUGAGCUAGAGUACUGGAGAGGAGAUUGGAAUUUACGGUGUAGCAGUGAAAUGCGUAGAUAUCGUAAGGAAGACCAGUGGCGAAGGCGGAUCUCUGGACAGUUACUGACACUGAGUCACGAAGUCCAGGGGAGCAAAC
rnacentral:rRNA from 1 species